CACUCGCAACAAUCAUGUUCCUCUUCUUUGUUUUCAUAGCUGUUAAAAACAUUGCAGGUGCUGUUGACAGCAGCAUUACACCAGACCAACCCGUCAUAUCUUCAAGUGAAGGCAGCAGCACCCCACUGACCUGCACAUAUGAUCAAUCAGCUGACUAUCUCUACUGGUAUCGACAAAACCCUCAAUCAGGACCAGAGUUUCUGAUGAGGAUUUAUAUAUCUACAGAGCGUGUCACUAAAGCUGAACAACUUGACCCAAGACUAUCCACCAGACUGCGUAAAAAUGAGAGGAAAGUAGAUCUGGAGAUCUUUCCUGUUGCAGUAUCAGACUCUGCACUGUACUACUGCGCCAUGGAGCCCACAGUAACAGGAAACACAACUACACUGUACAAAAACUCCUUCACAUCACAAAAGGGAGGUUUUUCUUUUUCUCAGGAGGGGGAGCUGUUUGGCUUUUUGAUUCAAAUAAAUUUUCCUUUUCCAAUUUCCAGUCUUUGAUGUUGGAAUAACUUUCAAUAUCUAUGCUGAUUGUGCUAGAAUAAUCUCCAUAGAAAAUAUUAAUCACCUUUCUGGAUAUUAAGAAAUUUUAUUAUUUCAUAAAUUUAAUUCUCAUGCAUCAGGUCUGUUUUAUUAUUUAAACCCAAAACCCAAAAUGUCCCAACAAAUGUAGCUGUUAUUUGUGGACAGAAUUUGUUUAGAAAAAUAUAUGUUUAAGUGAAAUGUUGUGAGUUGAAUAAGAUUGUGUUUAUUUAUUAGAGCAACUACAUAUCAUGAAGAAUAUUUCACAUCUAUUCAUGCUAAAAUGUGUUUAAAUAAAA